UACGAAGGGGGCUAGCGUUGCUCGGAAUCACUGGGCGUAAAGCGCACGUAGGCGGAUCGUUAAGUCGGGGGUGAAAUCCUGGAGCUCAACUCCAGAACUGCCUCCGAUACUGGCGAUCUUGGAGUCCGGGAGAGGUGAGUGGAACUCCGAGUGUAGAGGUGAAAUUCGUAGAUAUUCGCAAGAACACCAGUGGCGAAGGCGGCUCACUGGCCCGGUACUGACGCUGAGGUGCGAAAGCGUGGGGAGCAAACAGG
rnacentral:rRNA from 1 species